UAACAUGAAGAACCCCAGAAAGCUCUGAUGUGCCAGAAAAUGCAAAUUCAACAGGAAGCAGGGAACCCAAAGAGAUGGGAAUCAAGAACAGUGGUCGGCAGAGCUCCAGACCAUCUUCUGGAUGAGCCGUUGGUCACUCCUAAGGCAUCCUUAGCAAGUAGUCCUUCUGUCACCUGCACAGAAACCUGUGGCCUCUGUGGCAGAGGCUCUCGUGUUUGUGACAUCAGCUCCAGCAUCAACACCCAUUUUGAAAUCUAAGAAAGAAGGAAGAGGUAUAUUUUUUAAUUAAAAUAUCAGA
rnacentral:lncRNA from 1 species